CCACCGAUGUGUUGCAUUGUCACUUGAACUUCUACGCGGGAGUCGGCAACCUAGGAGCACGAGCCCGGGGCAAUGGACUGCCACACUCCGAGGCUCGGAGGCUGCUGAGGGCGCGGCAGGCGGCGCGGGCGGACGGAAGAGGGGCCGGCCGUAGCUUGCGGAGGUCGUCAGGGGAGCGGGCGGUGUGCGGUGGAGGUCUCGGGCACGCCGAGCCACCGUUGCGGUGGUGACCGGCGGCGGACGGGCGGCUGCGGCGCGCUCGGAGCGGAUCUAAAGGAGGCAGGCCUAGACGUCGGACGCCGAGCGACCUAAACGAGAGCAGGCGACGGAGGAGGCGCCGCCGGGGUCGUUUUUAAGCUACCCGUCCGGUUGGGAGUGAAGCUGCCGCACCUUCUGCUCACUCACUCGUCAUCAACGGCCACUCAAGACGGCAUCUAAGGAUUAAAAGGUACGAUUUAACCUACUUUAUGCGGUUUUCUUAGGUCAAAAGUUACGACACAACGGGGUAAGUCUAAGUCAAUACUUCGUACAAUCCCGGUGUGCUUUAAAGAGGGGUCACACCUCUGAACAAUAGAAGAGACUUGAAGAACUUGGACGAAUCGUCAACAUCCAACCCAUCCCACUGCGACCCCUGUACGACCUACGAAGCAAACCACUAAAGCAAUUACUUUAGCCUCUCUUGGGGGAGAAAGCUAAUUUUUCUUGUGCUUUAACGUUACGUCUUAGUCAAACGAGAAACACCAGAACCCAGCUGCGAUAGUUUAGAGUUUUGAAGUCACCUGCAGUCACCUAACCAAACAGAAGCACAGGCGUCCAAUGUUAGUGCCAUACUCGUACUCGGUCCUGAUCAGAAUGUCGUAGAAACACAGCGACAGUUUUAUUAACAGUGAAAACGAGAACCUUAAAUAUAAAACGAGUGACGUUAAGAUGAUCACUGUCGUGUAAUGAGUCGGACGUGUGCAAAAGAAAGAGUUCAGAAACAAAAUAAGAAGAUGAAAAGAAAUGGGAACGUAGUGCAAGUCCCACUCUACUGGACAUAGUUCAGUUCAGUUGAAUCAGCUCGAAUUGAGGUCCGGGUAAGGAAGGUCGUCUUUUUUUAGAAAUUUACCGGAGGUGCGUGUUUCCAUCUAGUGGGUUCGAGGUCAGAUUUGGUGAGGUUGAGGAACCAAGAAGGUGUAGGACAUUUGACCUUAGUACGGGAGUUACAAAUGAGAUGAGAUAUAAAAUGAGUAGGAAAAGAGGCAGUCCUGAUGUUAUGAGCUUCGUCGUGUUCGUUUGUUCAGCCUCUAACUAGCGGUCCGGGAGGAGACGAAGUUCAGGCCGUAGUCGAGAAUAGGGGAACCAUAGGAUCUGAGUACCUCGUUGUUGAGUGAAUUGAAAACGCCGACCUUUCCCCAGUGAACGCCGUGUUUCAAAGGUGGGGCCCACCAGAGAGAAUUGAAGUUGAUACGAGCAGAGUCACCCUUCAAUAGACCUACGGACCCGUUGAACUGUAAAGAUAGGUCCUACUUGGAACGGAUAUUAUUAGAAAGCCCUUGAUAGGGACUUCUGAACCCAUACGAAGGUUUGGAGGUAUGUGACUUAGAACGGCCGUCGAUAGAAGUUCCAUUGUAGGGGUAAAGGAAUCCGCGAUCGUUAAGUGAAUCGAUACAGUUAGUACCUUUGUUGUGAGAUUGUCCGCCGUAGGGAGAGAGUAACUGGUUAACGAGGAGUGAGUUGUGUGAAUAUAACAGUGCAUUAUUGGAGAGACCUCUCUAGGGAAGAUGAAACAAACUAUUGAAUAGAUUCGAAUGAUUCCAACUAGAGGUCUUCUUAAGAAAAUGACCAGAGUAGGGUGCAAAGGUAUUCCAGUGUCGUGAGUUUAAAGAAACGGACUGUCUCUUGAAGGAGAGACCUUUGUAUGGAGAAAGUUAUCCUUUACAAAGAAGGGAGUGAAGAUAUAACGAGCCGGUUUUAUUCGAUAGUCCUAAUUAAGGUCUUUGAUAUCCAGUGUGAUGUUUUGACGAACUCGAACUGGAUUCAAAGUUGUCAAAUAGUCCAUUACAGGGCCAAAGGGACAUAUUGUACAGUAGUGAGUUUUUGAAAUCACAACCGUCGUUACCGGAACAACCUGUCAAUGGUAGAAUGUAACCAGUGAGUGAUGGUUGGGAGGCCAGGGAUUAAUACCCUUCGUUGUCCGACCUCCCGAACUAGGGAUGAAGUGAUCGGUUGUACAGUUUAGAAGUUUACGAACUAGAAAGUCUGUUGAGCGAUUUACCGGCACAGGGUAGAGAACCAAGAAACCGUUUGAACUCAGUCAAUCAAAACCCCUCGUUGAACGAUCUUCGUGUACUGACCAGUAAAGAAUGUAGAGAUCGUUUAACGUGGGUCGAAUGUUUCAACAGGAACCUUCCCUUACCAAACUUACCGUCGAAUGGACGUCGUCAACAAUUAGAAAGGUGCUCCGACGUUCUAAACAGCGAACCCAGUUUGGUUUAAAGUCCGAGGUAUGGACAACUUUAAUCGUUAGAACAAUUAGAGUGUAGAGAAUCCUACCUUUCAUUAAAAGAAAGACCUUCGUAUGGAAGAUGGUAACCUUUCGACGUUUUGGAUAUACAGGAUUUAGAUAGUUUCUUGUUUAAUAGUCCAGUCUAGGGAGGGAGUCAGCCACUGUAAUGAGUUGACCCGUUCGAAAUAGAACUACUAUUGUUGAACUCACCUUUGUAUGGACUAUCAAAUCCAGUCACGUUCCCUGAAGAACUUGAUUUGAACAGAUGAUUGUCGGAACUACCCAGUUAUGGUCAGUUUGAAAAACUAGCGGGAGGUGAAAGGAACCCACACCUGAAAAGCAUGUUGUUCGAGUAUCCUCUUUAUGGUAGUCUUCAACCAUUAAACCGUUUAGAACGAGAAAACUUACAAAGGUUGUUAUACAACAAACCUUGCUAAGGACUUCGAGAACCUUCGACAGAAUGAAAUAACAAGAACGCGUACCUCUUUUUGUACGAACUUCCCGUUUAAGGAGUUUCAAAGUCCUUCAACGCCAGGUAGGUCGUCUAAUUAGAUCGAGCUUUAUUAAAUAGACCAAGUCACGGUAUGAAGAAACCGCUGAAGUGAAACAACCUGUUCGACCUAGAUAGUAUGUUGUUGAAACUUCCCGUUUAAGGGAGACCACCUACGAAAUCCUUGAGCUCAUACCAUCAAAACCUACCGUUAUUCUACAACACACGUUCUCAGAGGUACGAUCCCGAAGCUUAAACACUACUGUGGGUCUGUUUCUUGGUACACGGAAACGAUUCUUAUCAUUACUAUUAAUGUGGCGAUUAACGACCACACAAUGACAAUACAAACCAACAGUGACAAACCUUUUCUUCCCGCGUUGAAUGUAAAGGUUCCACAUUAUUCUAAGGGCCACACAAUACAAAUCAACGGUUGGCCUUCUUUUCUCUUCGUCAACGGUUGGUCUUCUAUUCUCUUCACCAACGUACAAGAUUGGUGUUCCUCUGAGACUUCUUCUAUAGUAUACCACUGUAAGACUUUCGAUGGUUGACCAAAACAAGCCAGGUAUGAUAGUCGAGUUGGACAUGGCCUAGUCAAAUACAGCCAUCCAAGUUCAGACUGUCCUCGGAUCAACGAUAGUUUCAUAAGUUGGACUUACUCGGACCACCUAUACCAUCAAUGAAAUGGCUCACACUCCACGAUGCUUCGUGGGCGGUGGCCUUAUAUUACGCCGGAUACUGGGAUACGAGCUGUGAACUAAGUUUUUUGGUACUCAAGUUUCGUGACCAGAAGUUCAAGUACCAAUUACCGUCGGAACUGUCUACCAACGUGAGACUCGUCGUGUUACAUUAGGGUCUGUCUCACGAUUCGAAACCGGUCUCCUAUACGUAUCGUUGUCUACAGCGAAGACGAGACCUAAUACAAGUGUUGGUUGACUGCGGAGGAAACUAGGUGACACUAAACUUCGGUGUGUUACAGGAAAACCUGCUAUUGUACUGCCGUGCCGAGUCACUGAAACCGAGUCGUUUCAAAGAUAAUGGUCCGGUCCAAUAAGCAUUUUCGGACCAACUACAGCCUCCCUGAUAACCCAUGUAUCGUGGACUCAUGCCCGACCCGACGUUCUAGAGACAUCCUCGACUGCACAUAUCAAAACCUCACGAAGACGAUCUCAACGAAUGGCCUUUUGCUGGUUGGCUACUAUACAAGUAGCUACCCGAGUGGGAAGGGUAAAAGAGACUUAGGUACAAGGGACCGGAUCAACGCCUCUACGAUCUAGGAGUAUACCGCGUACUCCUCGUAGUUCCCACGCAUCUUCGUACCUACGUCUCUAUAUAACAGGGCAACCAACGAGACCCCGACAGUACAUGACACCUUAGAGGUUUCCUGUCUGGACCUUACUUUCUACAAACACGUUUUGAAAGAAGAGAGUCUCUGCUGAAAGACCUUGCGGUAGUACUGCUAACUGAUUAUAAACUCGAGACAAUCUCGUACGACUAAACAAUAGCAAUUCUUACAUUAAACCGUAUUAGGAAACAACGCCCAAACGACUAAUAAAAGUAAAACUAGAAUUCCACAUACAUACCGCUUUAAGGAAUCAUCGUAUUUGACAUGACAAAUAUAGUUCCAUAAAAAGACAGUUUAGAAUGUAGGUC
rnacentral:rRNA from 1 species